UACAGAGGGUGCAAGCGUUAAUCGGAAUUACUGGGCGUAAAGCGUGCGUAGGCGGUUAUUUAAGUCGGAUGUGAAAUCCCCGGGCUCAACCUGGGAAUUGCAUUCGAUACUGGAUAGCUAGAGUUCGGCAGAGGGAAGUGGAAUUUCGGGUGUAGCGGUGAAAUGCGUAGAUAUCCGAAGGAACAUCAGUGGCGAAAGCGACUUCCUGGACCAGAACUGACGAUCAGGCACGAAAGCGUGGGGAGCAAACAGG
rnacentral:rRNA from 1 species